GAUGAACGCUGGCGGCGUGCUUAACACAUGCAAGUCGAACGGGAUCCAAGGGGUGCUUGCACUUUUUGGUGAGAGUGGCGAACGGGUGAGUAACACGUGAGUAACCUGUCCUUUUCUUUGGGAUAAGCAUUCGAAAGGGUGUUUAAUACCUUAUGUUCUGUCUGCCUCGCAUGGGGUGGGUGGGAAAGGCUUUGGCCGGAUUUGGGUGGGCUCGCGGUCUAUCAGCUUGUUGGUGGGGUGAUGGCUUACCAAGGCUUUGACGGGUAGCCGGCCUGAGAGGGUGGGUGGUCACAUUGGGACUGAGAGUCGGCCCAGACCCCUGCGGGAGGCAGCAGUGGGGGAUAUUGCACAAUGGGCGAAAGCCUGAUGCAGCGACGCCGCGUGGGGAUGAAGGCCUUCGGGUUGUAAACUUCUGUUGCUCUGAACAAGGCAUGCCAGUGGGUGUGUUGAGUGUAGGGGUUGAUUAGCGCCGGCUAACUACGUG
rnacentral:rRNA from 1 species